CUCAGAGGGCCGAUGUUGUCAACAUAAAAUUAAAAAUAGAAAAAUAAAUUUAAAGCAUCUUUUUUUUGAUGUGCAGUCUUGAAAAAAAGCGUUGCUUUUAUGCACCAAGAGAACUUUGGGAUAGGUUUUACCCUAAUCUGUUCAGAACAACAGAUCUCUGCAUAUCAGUCACCAGUUCUUCCUACUUUAUGAAUUAAAGAAAGAGUAAUUGCUUUCAUAGUGAAAUAAAUGUGCUUUUUUUAUCAGUAGUAGAUCAUAAGCGGAACAGUUUAUGUGAAAAUAUGCGUACAAAUACAAAGUAUACUGCAAGGAUGUGAACAUAAAUUUUCUGCUAACUUCAAAAAUGUCUCGGAAGGAAAAAAAAUUAAAAUAAGACCAAAACACGAACAAAACUUAACACUGUGCAUCCUCUCUUGGCCUGCUGUGCUCCGUGAUCCCAGGUUUGCUGCCAGGUGGUUGAAUGCCCAUUAGUCUCCCUGUCUGCUUUGCUCUGCCAGCUUCAGGCUCAACAGGCGCUACAGAGAGAAUAAAUUAUGAUCCACCCACGGGCUAUCUGCCUUCUCUGGCCCUGACUCACCUAUUUACACUAGCUGUGCACUUGAGGCAAAUUACAUUUUCCUUUCAAAUAUUUGCUUUUAUUAAUGUUGUGCAGCAUGGUGAUUAAUCUCCUCAAUAAAGGUACCAUCUGCCUGACCCAAAAAAAAAGAAAAAAUGAAAUUAUGCUUUCACGUCCUGUGAUUAAGAUGAAUAUCAUAUGUGGAGUUGAAAACAGCUUUAACAGAGGAAAAACAAAGAAAACACUUGCUGAGAGAUGAGCCAGCACCCCUUACCUGUCCUCCCCCUCCUCUCUCACUUAUUUUUAGUCUUUUCCUUCAACCCCAGUUUCUGAUCUGCUACAGUACCUGAGCGUACCCCUGCACUGCGGCGUUAGAGCAUGCAGGGACAGAUAAACCUGCUGUAAUGAAAAUGAAUGUUCCCACUUGGAGCCCGAUAGAGUUCCAUUAUGAGGUUUAUUUGUUGGGGGGCAGGACGCCAGGCUCAGGGAUGAGUUUUACUUGGCUCUCUUCAGACGUGCAGGGGCGAAAACUCCAACGCCGGCUAAUCUAGCAGAGCAGCUUUGCCCUGGCCGUGUCCUCAUUGAGAAACCUGAAACCACUUGCUUGCUUUCUGUCACUUUGUUUUCUGUUUUGUUUUUCUGUCUCCUCUCUGCAGCUCGUCUCAUCAAAAUGAAAAGUCUCUAGCCAUUAUGCUCUUUUUUCUCCGUCAUUGCUUAUUCAGUUGUGAUGUUCUUCUCUCUGUUAGUGUCUGACUUUCUGGGUUGUUGUUUUUUUUUUUUUUUUUUUAGAAGAAUAGCUCAGCUCACAGAACUUGAAGUCUGCCCUUUUAGUGUUUCUCAAGUUUCUAAAAAAUUUGUGUAAACUAUCCAUCAGUCUAUCCAUUUUCUUAAUCACUUAUUCAGGUCACGGUUGUUGCAGCUCACAGAGGGUGAGAGGCGGCUAAAGACCCAGGACAGGUUGCCAAUCUAUCCCGGGGCCUUUGUGCAAACUACUCACCUCAAAACUGGCAUUCGGUGAAGUACGCUGAUUAUGUCAAAGAAGCAAAUGCUUCUACUUUCCUCUGAAACAAAAAUUGCACAUACACGCCAUCUGUUCCACACAUGGAUGAAUCAUAUUUUGAGCCAAUGUUCCUGGUAAUGAUCAUGCUGUAUUUUAUUUUCUCUGUUUUUGCUUCCUUUUACUCAGCAUUUCUAGAAAUUUAGCAGAUUCAGUUUCUGAUUUAACAUUUUCUAAGAUUUUAUUUGAUACUAAGCAAAUUUAUAAUAACGAAGCACUGAAAGAAC
ensembl:lncRNA